rnacentral:sRNA from 19 species
GCCGAUAGCACGCCGAACUCCAUCCAGUGGGCGAGGGAUUCCGACCGCGGAUGGAGGCGGGGGACCCACCAGGUCCGCCGAGAUCGGACCGGAGCCGCAUACGGCUCCUUGGGGUGAAGCCAACGUCGUUCGCCGAUGUACGACCGCGGCCGGGUGAUCCUCUCCACGGCGAAUCCAACCCGAACCCGACAGCUGACCUCGUAGGCGUGUACCGAGAGGAAUU